rnacentral:rRNA from 1 species
AUUGAACGCUGGCGGCAGGCCUAACACAUGCAAGUCGAGCGGAUGAAGGGAGCUUGCUCCUGGAUUCAGCGGCGGACGGGUGAGUAAUGCCUAGGAAUCUGCCUGGUAGUGGGGGAUAACGUCCGGAAACGGGCGCUAAUACCGCAUACGUCCUGAGGGAGAAAGUGGGGGAUCUUCGGACCUCACGCUCUCAGAUGAGCCUAGGUCGGAUUAGCUAGUUGGUGGGGUAAAGGCCUACCAAGGCGACGAUCCGUAACUGGUCUGAGAGGAUGAUCAGUCACACUGGAACUGAGACACGGUCCAGACUCCUGCGGGAGGCAGCAGUGGGGAAUAUUGGACAAUGGGCGAAAGCCUGAUCCAGCCAUGCCGCGUGUGUGAAGAAGGUCUUCGGAUUGUAAAGCACUUUAAGUUGGGAGGAAGGGCAGUAAGUUAAUACCUUGCUGUUUUGACGGUACCAACAGAAUAAGCACCGGCUAACUUCGUG